GGUGCUGUACACUAAUUGGUUAUGUCAGCUCCACGGGAUGGAGGAGAUGCGCGUUCGAAUCCCGCCGGCGCCC